rnacentral:misc_RNA from 2 species
AGCAGCCGCGGUAAUUCCAGCUCCAAUAGCGUAUAUUAAAGUUGUUGCAGUUAAAAAGCUCGUAGUUGAACUUCGGGGUUUACUCAUUGGUCAGGCUUAAUUGUCUGUACUGGUGAGAUGAAUCUCUACCUUCUGAGGAACUUUCAUGCCAUUUAUUUGGUGUGAUUGGAAAUCAGGACUGUUACUUUGAAAAAAUUAGAGUGUUUAAAGCAGGCUAACGUCUGAAUACAUUAGCAUGGAAUAAUGAAAUAGGACGGAUUGAUUCUAUUUCGUUGGUUUCUAGGGUCACCGUAAUGAUUAAUAGGGAUAGUUGGGGGCAUUAGUAUUCAAUUGUCAGAGGUGAAAUUCUUGGAUUUAUUGAAGACUAACUACUGCGAAAGCAUUUGCCAAGGAUGUUUUCAUUAAUCAAGAACGAAAGUUAGGGGAUCGAAGACGAUCAGAUACCGUCGUAGUCUUAACCAUAAACUAUGCCGACUAGGGAUCGGACGAAGUUAAUUAAUAAUGACGCGUUCGGCACCUU